UUAUAACAUACAGUGAUGACUACGUAAUACUAUAAUUAUAUAAUCUAGGACAAUCAAUCAAAUUGUUUUUAAACGAAACGACAGCCGAAUGUUAUAAAGUCAAUUUUAGGCUGUAUGAAAAUUUGCGAUGACAUUUUAUAAGAAAGGCUGGAGAAUGGAUGAAAUGGACUUAAGACUUUGCUAUAAUUUUGUACCUUCCUUGCAUAUAUUCAACUAACAUAAACAUCACUAUACAGUUAUUGAGAUUUGAUUCACAAUGAAGCAGGAUGAUUUUAAUGUAUCGACAUAAGUCACAACGUACAUAAAGUUGAAGUCAAACGACAAUAUUAGGAGCUGGAAUGCAAUUGAUCAAACUUGUAGUCUAACGAAAUUAUCAGUAUGGUUGUAAAUUGCUAUAGUUGUUCAGCAUCAAUUACAUGGCAAACUUUCUUGGGAAAUUGAUGUAAUUUCUCCCAAUCAUAAACCGUGGAAUAUUUCAAUACAUCAAAAUCAUCCCAUAUCUCAACCCAACAAAGCUGAACCAUGUAAUCGUGCCCGAAAACGUAACCUAAUUAUGAAUUAACGUCUUAUGAUUGUCUCAAUGUCCAAUUUACACAUAUUUUCGUGUGGAAGGUAAAACAUCAGCAACUGCUUUGCAUCUUUGUUUGUUCAUGGCAGGAAGAUACUCCCAUGUAGAAUCUCCCAUUGUAAAACACUCCACUGAACUGAGAUGUUCAACUUUCUCAUUCAUACCUCCCAUCACGACAAUGGUAUUUCCAGUAAUAACUGCACAACAGUUAUAUCUCUUCUCCAACAUGGAUGGUAAGACUGUGAUCUUGCCUGUCUUGGAGUUGUACAUGAAAACAUAAUUCAGAACUUGAUGAUCCUCAUUAAGACCUCCAAGCACAACUACUUCAUCCCUCCAGCGAACUGUCGCCAUUCUCCUCAAGGCAGACGGUAAUUUUGGCAUCUCUUUACAUUCAUUCCUUUUUAGAUCAAACUCCAAUACACUGUCUGUAUUCUUAAAACCAGGGCCAUAACCUCCUAAAAUCAGCACUUUAUCUUCAAAUACCUCAGCGCCAUGAUAUGAUCGUGGUUCUAGCAUUCGACACAACUCUUUCAUAAUGCAAGGUGAAGUAAGUUGCAAUUCACUAAUCACUUUAGACCAUCCUUUGCCAUAAUUAAAUCCACCAAUGUCAAUGAGACUCUGCUGGUAAACAACAAUUUGAUGAUCAGCACAUUUAUAAGGCAGUUCCCCAAGAAAUUUCGUCCAUUUCAAAGGUAAUUCAUCGAGAUUCAAGGUCUCUAUUGCCUUACUAUCUGCUCCCCCGACAACAAAGAACUGAUCUUUAUAGAUAAAUGAUGAAGCUCUACCAUGGUUUGCAUUCAUUGGCGACACCUCAAACCAACCAUUUUUCUCCCAGGAAUAUAUUUCCGUACUUUUGCCAGGUCUAUUUGAACGCGUUCCAUAUCCACCUGCAAUCAAAAUAUCCUGUCUUGGUGUGUUCAACAUUCCCUCAGUCGGUGAUGGCAGUUUCUUCAGCAGUUCAAGCACAUUUAACUUCUCUAACAUUUGAAUCAUCAUGACUUUGACUUCGUCCACAUCUUUGUUCACUUUGGAAAGAUUGUCCUUCAUAUCUUUGACUUCUUUCUUAACUUCCCCGAUUUCCUUCUUCGUUUGUCCACUUGAUGCUUCCACUUUUUCGUUGAUUUCCUUCACUUUUUCGUUCGUCUCCUUAUUCAUUUCCUUCACUGCUUCCACUUUUUCAUUCAUUUCCUUCAUUGCUUCCACUUUUUCGUCCAACUUCUUUAUUCCCUUCACUGCUUGUUCCACUUUCCCAUCCAGUUCCAUUAAACUUCCUUUCAAUGUUCCGACAUCUUCCUGUAUCUGCCCACAGUCAUGACAUGUCACUUUUCUAUAAUCACAAACUUCAGUUUCAUGAUGGACCUUAUCUUGCUUGUUAAUCUCCAUACCACACUCUGUAUUUGAACACAACACAGGUGCAUAGCCACAAUUCACCACGUGAGUUUUGAGAUCUUCAAGACAGGUAAACUCAGGACAUCCCCGACUGGCAUGAUCACAAUUUAUCUUUAGUUUAGACAAAUAAUUGCUCAACACACGCGGCCGACGAAGCGUAUCGACACUCAAAUGUUCAUUACAUUCAGGACAAGUUUGAGAGUUCACCUUUAGAUGUUGAGUGAUGCAGGCGAGACAAAAGAUGUGAUCAUUAUUCCUACACGUCCUUGGUUCUUUAAGAACAUUGUAGCAGAUAGAACAAUGAAAAUUUUCGUCGACAUCUUUCUCAAAUCGACAGUCUUCGUAGCCAUAUUUCUCUUCGGUCGGGCAGCAAGCCAUGCUUCAUAGCUCAUAGAAACAUUGCGCCACUUUCUAGUUAAAGAUUCGAUACCAAUGAUCUUUCUUUGUCACAUUUAUCUCACAUUGUAAAGCAAAUAAAUCGAGAGCAAGAAACAGACGAGGUUUUGAAAACUACCGCCUUCGCUUUGGUUUGAUUUUGCAAUA